rnacentral:rRNA from 1 species
UGGGGAAUAUUGGACAAUGGGCGCAAGCCUGAUCCAGCAAUGCCGCGUGUGUGAAGAAGGCCUGCGGGUUGUAAAGCACUUUCGGUGGGGAGGAAAGACUCUAGGCUAAUACCCUAGAGAGUUGACGUUACCCACAGAAGAAGCACCGGCUAACUCUGUGCCAGCAGCCGCGGUAAUACAGAGGGUGCAAGCGUUAAUCGGAAUUACUGGGCGUAAAGGGUGCGUAGGUGGUUUGAUAAGUUAGGUGUGAAAGCCCUGGGCUUAACCUGGGAAUUGCGCUUAAGACUGUCAAACUAGAGUACUGUAGAGGGAGGUGGAAUUUCCGGUGUAGCGGUGAAAUGCGUAGAUAUCGGAAGGAACACCAGUGGCGAAGGCGACUUCCUGGACAGAUACUGACACUGAGGCACGAAAGCAUGGGGAGCAAACAGG